rnacentral:rRNA from 1 species
UUAAGCUACUAAGAGCGUAGGGUGAAUGCCUUGGCAUCAAGAGCCGAUGAAGGACGUGAUAAGCUGCGAAAAGCCACGCGUAGAUGCAAAUAAUCGAUAAAACGUGGAUGUCCGAAUGAGGAAACUCAAUUAGAAGAAGAAGUCUAAUUAUUUAUACAUAAGUAAAGUAGUGUAUAAAGGGGAACGUUGGGAACUGAAACAUCUUAGUACCAACAGGAAAAGAAAGAAAACUCGAUUUCCAGAGUAGUGGCGAGCGAAAUGGAAAGAGCCCAAACCAUAAGAAGUAAUUCUUAUGGGGUAAAGGACUGCAUAAUUGAUUUAAUGAGGAUACAAGAAUUAUCUGGGAAGGUAGACCAAAGAAGGUGAAAGUCCUGUAAGGGAAAUCCAAAUUAACAUGGCAGUAUCCAGAGUAGUGCGAGACACGAGAAAUCUCGUAUGAAUAACGGGGGACCACCCCCGAAGGCUAAAUACUACUUGAUGACCGAUAGUGAAGAAGUACCGUGAGGGAAAGUUGAAAAGAACCCCGGGAGGGGAGUGAAAUAGAACCUGAAACCCUAUGUUUACAAGCAGACAAAGCACGUUAAGGUGCGAUGUCGUACUUUUUGUAGAACGGUCCGGCGAGUUAUUUUAUAUGGCAAGGUUAAGUACUGAAGGUACGAAGCCGAAGGGAAACCGAGUGUUAAUAGCGCGUAAAAGUCAUAUGAAAUAGACCCGAAACCGAGUGACCUAACCAUGUCCAGGAUGAAGCUUGAGUAAAAUCAAGUGGAGGUCCGAACUCAUAGACGUUAAAAAGUCUCGGGAUGAGGUGUGGUUAGCGGAGAAAUUCCAAUCGAACUCGGAGAUAGCUGGUUCUCCUCGAAAUAGUUUUAGGACUAGCCUUGAGAGAAUAAUGCGCGGGGGUAGAGCACUGAAUGAGCUAGGGGUCAAACCUGAUUACCGAACUCUAUCAAACUCCGAAUACCGUGUAGAGGAAACUCAGGAGUCAGACUGCGGGAGCUAAGUUCCGUGGUCAAAAGGGAAAGAGCCCAGAUCGUCAAAUAAGGUCCCAAAGAUAUAGUUAAGUGGAAAACGAUGUGAUUUUGCGUAAACAACCAGGAUGUUGGCUCAGAAGCAGCCACCCAUUUAAAGAGUGCGUAAUAGCUCACUGGUCGAGUGAAGUUGCGCGGAAAAUUACCGGGGCUAAACUAUACACCGAAUUUGCGGAUUUGUUACUUGAAAGAUAGUAAUAAGUGGUAGAGGAGCAUUCUAAGAGGACGAAGCAUAACUGAAAGGAUAUGUGGACGAAAUAGAAGAGAGAAUGCCGGAAUAAGUAGCGAAAGCAUAGUGAGAAUCUAUGCCAUCGAAAGUCUAAGGUUUCCUGGGGAAGGUUCGUCCGCCCAGGGUAAGUCGGGACCUAAGGAGAGGCCGAAAAGCGUAUCCGAUGGACAGCAGGUAGAGAUUCCUGCACUACGAUAUAUUUAGAAACUAUAACUGACACAGGAAUGGAAGAUAAGCGAGGAAGAGGAAAAACUCGUAUCGAAAGAUAUAGUGAAAAUAAGUAACGAAUUAUCAAGAAAUACACUGGCGAGAAAAGGUUGUAGAAAUUGUAUAUAGUACCCGUACCGCAAACCGACACAGGUAGAUGAGGAGAAGAUCCUAAGAUGAGCGAGAGAAGCAUUGUUAAGGAACUCGGCAAACUGACCCCGUAACUUAGGGAGAAGGGGUGCCAAGGUAAAACUUGGUCGCAGAGAAUAGUCCCAAGCAACUGUUUAACAAAAACAUAGGUUUCUGCUAAAUCGAAAGAUGAAGUAUAGGAGCUGACACCUGCCCAGUGCUGGAAGGUUAAGAGGAGAUGUUAGAGUAAUCGAAGCAUUGAAUUCAAGCCCCAGUGAACGGCGGCCGUAACUAUAACGGUCCUAAGGUAGCGAAAUUCCUUGUCAGGUAAGUUCUGACCCGCACGAAAGGUGUAAUGAUUUGGGAGCUGUCUCGACAAUGUACUCGGCGAAAUUGUAGUACUAGUGAAGAUGCUAGUUACCUGCGACAAGACAGAAAGACCCCAUGGAGCUUUACUGCAACUUGAUACUGGGUCUAGGUAAUUUAUGUACAGGAUAGGUGGGAGACUAUGAAACUUUGGCGCUAGCUGAAGUGGAGUCAUCCUUGGGAUACCACCCUUAAGUUACUUGGAUUCUAACCUGCCGUCAUAAACUGGCGGGGGGACAAUGUCAGGUGGGCAGUUUGACUGGGGCGGUCGCCUCCUAAAGAGUAACGGAGGCGCGCAAAGGUUUCCUCAGCGCGGACAGAAAUCGCGCGAAAGAGUGCAAAGGCAGAAGGAAGCUUAACUGAGAGACUGACAAGUCGACCAGAUACGAAAGUAGGUCUUAGUGAUCCGGUGGUUGUAAGUGGAAAUGCCAUCGCUCAACGGACAAAAGUUACCCUGGGGAUAACAGGCUUAUCUCCCCCAAGAGUUCACAUCGACGGGGAGGUUUGGCACCUCGAUGUCGGCUCAUCACAUCCUGGAGCGGAAGUACGUUCCAAGGGUUGGGCUGUUCGCCCAUUAAAGUGGUACGCGAGCUGGGUUCAGAACGUCGUGAGACAGUUCGGUCCUUAUCUGUCGCAGGCGGAGGAUAUUUGAAGGGAGUUGGCCCUAGUACGAGAGGACCAGGCUGAACGAACCGAUGGUACACCAGUUGUCUCACCAGAGGCACAGCUGGGAAGCUAAGUUCGGAAGGGAUAAACGCUGAAAGCAUCUAAGUGUGAAGCCCACCCUAAGAUAAGAUAUGCCAUACCGUAAGGUAGUAAGAUUCCAGAAAGACUAACUGGUAGAUAGGUUGGAAGUGUAAGUGGUGAGAGCCAUUAAGCUAACCAAUACUAAUAAAUCGAGGGCUUAACCAC